UGCCAGCAGCCGCGGUAAUACAGAGGUCCCAAGCGUUGUUCGGAAUCACUGGGCGUAAAGCGUGCGUAGGCGGUAAGAUAAGUCAGAUGUGAAAUCUUCGGGCUCAACCCGGAAACUGCAUCCGAUACUACCUUACUAGAGAGACGGAGGGGAGUCUGGAAUUCACGGUGUAGCAGUGAAAUGCGUAGAUAUCGUGAGGAACACUAGUGGCGAAGGCGAGACUCUGGACGUCAUCUGACGCUGAGGCACGAAGGCUAGGGUAGCGAAAGGGAUUAGAUA
rnacentral:rRNA from 1 species